CCGCACGCGCGCUACACUGACAGAGCCAGCGAGUACUCCCUUGGCCGGAAGGUCCGGGUAAUCUUGUUAAACUCUGUCGUGCUGGGGAUAGAGCAUUGCAAUUAUUGCUCUUCAACGAGGAAUCCCUAGUAAGCGCAAGUCAUCAGCUUGCGUUGAUUACGU
rnacentral:rRNA from 1 species